AGCGAACGCUGGCGGCAGGCCUAACACAUGCAAGUCGAACGAACUUUUCGGAGUUAGUGGCGGACGGGUGAGUAACACGUGGGAACGUGCCUUUAGGUUCGGAAUAACUCAGGGAAACUUGUGCUAAUACCGAAUGUGCCCUUCGGGGGAAAGAUUUAUCGCCUUUAGAGCGGCCCGCGUCUGAUUAGCUAGUUGGUGAGGUAAAGGCUCACCAAGGCGACGAUCAGUAGCUGGUCUGAGAGGAUGAUCAGCCACAUUGGGACUGAGACACGGCCCAAACUCCUACGGGAGGCAGCAGUGGGGAAUCUUGCGCAAUGGGCGAAAGCCUGACGCAGCCAUGCCGCGUGAAUGAUGAAGGUCUUAGGAUUGUAAAAUUCUUUCACCGGGGACGAUAAUGACGGUACCCGGAGAAGAAGCCCCGGCUAACUUCGUG
rnacentral:rRNA from 1 species